UUCGAGUGUGUUACGUUAUUUAUUUUAGAAUUUGUACGCUCUGUUGUCACAAAUGAUUUCACAGAGCGUACCGAUUCUUUAAUAAGUGUCGUCAACAAUUAUCAACCCUUGAGG